AACGAACGCUGGCGGCAUGCCUAACACAUGCAAGUCGAACGAGAUCUUCGGGUCUAGUGGCGCACGGGUGCGUAACGCGUGGGAAUCUGCCCUUUGGUUCGGAAUAACAGUUGGAAACGACUGCUAAUACCGGAUGAUGACGAAAGUCCAAAGAUUUAUCGCCAGAGGAUGAGCCCGCGUAGGAUUAGCUAGUUGGUGUGGUAAAGGCGCACCAAGGCGACGAUCCUCAGCUGGUCUGAGAGGAUGAUCAGCCACACUGGGACUGAGACACGGCCCAGACUCCUACGGGAGGCAGCAGUGGGAAAUAUUGGACGAUGGGCGAAAGCCUGAUCCAGCAAUGCCGCGUGAGUGAUGAAGGCCUUAGGGUUGUAAAGCUCUUUUACCCGGGAUGAUAAUGACAGUACCGGGAGAAUAAGCUCCGGCUAACUCCGUGCCAGCCGCCGCAGUAA
rnacentral:rRNA from 1 species